ACGACAUGAUUCUCGUAAUUUAUUUAUAUAAUAUAUCUUAAGGUUGCCCCAAACACUCCGUAGCAGAAUUUCAAUAUGACGACGCGCAUUGUCUGCAAUUCCUUUACAGCUUUAGAAGCGGUUUUCCUUUCUAUAAUAGGGUGACCAAACUUCC